rnacentral:siRNA from 1 species
UGGUGCUGAAAAAGCCAACGGAAC